rnacentral:rRNA from 1 species
GAUGAACGCUGGCGGCGUGCCUAAUACAUGCGAGUCGAGCGAACGGACGAGAAGCUUGCCUCUCUGAUGUUAGCGGCGGACGGGUGAGUAACACGUGGAUAACCUACCUAUAUGACUGGGAUCACUUCGGGAAACCGGAGCUAAUACCGGAUAAUAUUUUGAACCGCAGGGUUCAAAAGUGAAAGACGGUCUUGCUGUCACUUAUAGAUGGAUCUGCGCUGCAUUAGCUAGUUGGUAAGGUAACGGCUUACCAAGGCAACGAUGCGUAGCCGACCGGAGAGGGUGAUAGGCCACACUGGAAGUGAGACACGGACCAGAGUCCUACGGGAGGCAGCAGUAGGGAAUCUUCCGCAGUGGGCGAAAGCCUGACGGAGCGAGGGGGCGUGAGUGAUGGCGGUCUUCGGAGCGGAAAGCCCUGUUAUUAGGUAAGAACAUAUGUGUCAGUAGCCGUGCCCAGAGUGACGGUACCUGAUCAGAAAGCCACGGCUAACUACGUG